rnacentral:rRNA from 1 species
GACGAACGCUGGCGGCGUGCUUAACACAUGCAAGUCGAACGGAAAGGCCUGCUUUCCCUUGUGGAUUGCGGGUGCUCGAGUGGCGAACGGGUGAGUAACACGUGAGUGAUCUGCCCCCAACUUGGGUAUAAGCCCGGGAAACUGGGUCUAAUUCCCGAUAGGACUGCAGGGUGGUGCCUGUGGUGGAAAACGAUUUUCUAGUGGUUGGGGAUGAGCUCGCGGCCUAUCAGCUUGUUGGUGGGGUAAUGGCCUACCAAGGCGGCGACGGGUAGCCGGCCUGAGAGGGUGGACGGCCACAUUGGGACUGAGAUACGGCCCAGACUCCUACGGGAGGCAGCAGUGGGGAAUAUUACACAAUGGGCGGAAGCCUGAUGCAGCGACGCCGCGUGGGGGAUGACGGCCUUCGGGUUGUAAACUCCUUUCGACCGCGAGGAAGCCACCUGGUUGGAAGGGUGGUGACGGUAGUGGUAGAAGAAGCACCGGCUAACUACGUG